rnacentral:rRNA from 1 species
UCGAGCGGCCGACGGGAGCUUGCUCCCUUAGGUCAGCGGCGGACGGGUGAGUAACACGUGGGUAACCUGCCUGUAAGACUGGGAUAACUCCGGGAAACCGGGGCUAAUACCGGAUGCUUGAUUGAACCGCAUGGUUCAAUCAUAAAAGGUGGCUUUUAGCUACCACUURCAGAUGGACCCGCGGCGCAUUAGCUAGUUGGUGAGGUAACGGCUCACCAAGGCGACGAUGCGUAGCCGACCUGAGAGGGUGAUCGGCCACACUGGGACUGAGACACGGCCCAGACUCCUACGGGAGGCAGCAGUAGGGAAUCUUCCGCAAUGGACGAAAGUCUGACGGAGCAACGCCGCGUGAGUGAUGAAGGUUUUCGGAUCGUAAAACUCUGUUGUUAGGGAAGAACAAGUACCGUUCGAAUAGGGCGGYACCUUGACGGUACCUAACCAGAAAGCCACGGCUAACUACGUGCCAGCAGCCGCGGUAAUACGUAGGUGGCAAGCGUUGUCCGGAAUUAUUGGGCGUAAAGCGCGCGCAGGCGGUUUCUUAAGUCUGAUGUGAAAGCCCCCGGCUCAACCGGGGAGGGUCAUUGGAAACUGGGGAACUUGAGUGC